rnacentral:rRNA from 1 species
GCCUGCCCUGUGACUAUAUGUUUAACGGCCGCGGUAUUUUGACCGUGCGAAGGUAGCGUAAUCACUUGUCUUUUAAAUGGAGACCCGUAUGAAUGGCACGACGAGGGCUUAACUGUCUCCUUUCUCAAGUCAAUGAAAUUGAUCUCCCCGUGCAGAAGCGGGGAUAACACCAUAAGACGAGAAGACCCUAUGGAGCUUUAGACACAAGGCAGAUCAUGUUAAACACCCCUAAAUAAAGGACUAAACCCCCUGAACUCCUGCCCUAAUGUCUUUGGUUGGGGCGACCACGAGGAAAAAGAACCCGCGUGCGGACUGGGGGUUUACCCCUAUUACCAAGAGCUCCCGCUCUAAUGAUCAGAAUUUCUGACCAAACAGAUCCGGCAUAGCCGAUCAACGGACCGAGUUACCCUAGGGAUAACAGCGCAAUCCUCUCUAAGAGUCCAUAUCGACGAGGGGGUUUACGACCUCGAUGUUGGAUCAGGACAUCCUAAUGGUGCAGCCGCUAUUAAGGGUUCGUUUGUUCAACGAUUAAAGUCCUACGUGAU